AGUGAACGCUGGCGGUAGGCCUAACACAUGCAAGUCGAACGGCAGCACAGUAAGAGCUUGCUCUUACGGGUGGCGAGUGGCGGACGGGUGAGGAAUACAUCGGAAUCUACUUUUUCGUGGGGGAUGACGUAGGGAAACUUACGCUAAUACCGCAUACGACCUACGGGUGAAAGCAGGGGAUCUUCGGACCUUGCGCGAUUGAAUGAGCCGAUGUCGGAUUAGCUAGUUGGCGGGGUAAAGGCCCACCAAGGCGACGAUCCGUAGCUGGUCUGAGAGGACGAUCAGCCACACUGGAACUGAGACACGGUCCAGACUCCUACGGGAGGCAGCAGUGGGGAAUAUUGGACAAUGGGCGCAAGCCUGAUCCAGCCAUACCGCGUGGGUGAAGAAGGCCUUCGGGUUGUAAAGCCCUUUUGUUGGGAAAGAAAAGCAGCAGGUUAAUACCCCGCUGUUCUGACGGUACCCAAAGAAUAAGCACCGGCUAACUUCGUG
rnacentral:rRNA from 1 species